rnacentral:rRNA from 1 species
CCCUUAGAUGUUCUGGGCCGCACGCGCGCUACAAUGAUGAAUUCAACGAGUUUAUAACCUUGGUUGAAAAGCCUGGGUAAUCUUUUGAACUUUCGUCGUGAUGGGGCUAGACCCUUGCAAUUAUUGGUCUCCAACGAGGAAUUCCUAGUAAACGCAAGUCAUCAGCUUGCAUUGAUUACGUCCCUGCCCUUUGUACACACCGCCCGUCGCACCUACCGAUUGAAUGGUCCGGUGAAAUCUUCGGAUUGAGACUUUGAUUUCUUCACGGAAAACGCUGUUUUAAAAAGUUGACUAAACCUUACCAUUUAGAGGAAGGUGAAGUCGUAACA